GAAAUGCGAUAAGUAAUGUGAAUUGCAGAAUUCAGUGAAUCAUCGAAUCUUUGAACGCACCUUGCGCCCUCUGGUAUUCCGGAGGGCAUGCCUGUUUGAGUGUCAUUAAAUUCUCAACUUCAAUAGUUUUUAUAACUUGUUGAAGCUUGGAUGUGGAGGUUUGCUGGCGUCUUUGGAUGUUUUCCGGCUCCUCUUAAAUGCAUUAGUAGGAACCCGUUUUUGUUGGCUUCUAAAGUGUGAUAAUUAUCUACGCUUUUGGAUAGUUCAACGACUCUAACUCAGAACGCCAAGGCGUCUCUGGUCUGGGUUUUGCACUUCAUUGUGCUUUACUUGGUUUCAUUCAGAAUGCUAAGGUGUUCUGGACUUGGGUGUUGCACUUUUUGUGCUUACCUGUUUCAUUAGAGUGGGACUCUGCUUUCUAACCGUCCAUAUAUGCGGACAAUUUUUGACAAUCUGACCUCAAAUCAGGUAGGACUACCCGCUGAACUUAA
rnacentral:rRNA from 1 species